rnacentral:rRNA from 1 species
GACGAACGCUGGCGGCGUGCCUAACACAUGCAAGUCGAGCGGGAUCCAUCCAGUAGCAAUACUGGUGAAGAUCUAGCGGCGAACGGGUGAGUAACACGUGAGAAACCUGCCCCAGACUCUGGGAUAACACGAGGCAACUCGUGCUAAUACCGGAUACCUUCUUUAGGUCGCAUGGCCAGCUGAAGAAAGAUUUAUCGGUUUGGGAGGGUCUCGAGGCCUAUCAGCUAGUUGGCGGGGUAACGGCCCACCAAGGCAUCGACGGGCAGCUGGUCUGGGAGGGCGAUCAGCCACACUGGGACUGAGACACGGCCCAGACUCCUACGGGAGGCAGCAGGGGGGAAUCUUGCGCAUGGGGCGAGAGCCUGACGCAGCAACGCGGCGUGCGGGAUGAAGGCCUUCGGGUUGUAAAGCUCUGUUGUCAUGGAAGAACAAGUGCCGAGGUAACUGCCGGCACCUUGACUGUACCUGACCAGAAAGCCACGGCUA